GAUGAACGCUAGCGGCAGGCCUAACACAUGCAAGUCGAGGGGUAGAAGGAGCUUGCUCCUUUGAGACCGGCGCACGGGUGCGUAACGCGUAUGCAAUCUACCUUGUACAGGGGAAUAGCCCAGAGAAAUUUGGAUUAAUGCCCCAUAGUAUAUAACCUUCGCAUGUUGGUUAUAUUAAAGUUCCAACGGUACAAGAUGAGCAUGCGUCCCAUUAGUUAGUUGGUAAGGUAACGGCUUACCAAGACGAUGAUGGGUAGGGGUCCUGAGAGGGAGAUCCCCCACACUGGUACUGGGACACGGACCAGACUCCUACGGGAGGCAGCAGUGAGGAAUAUUGGUCAAUGGUCGCAAGACUGAACCGGCCAUGCCGCGUGCAGGAAGACGGUCCUAUGGAUUGUAAACUGCUUUUAUACAGGAAGAAACCCUCCCACGUGUGGGAGCUGGACGGUACUGUAGGAAUAAGGAUCGGCUAACUCCGU
rnacentral:rRNA from 1 species